GAUCAACGCUGGCGGCGUGCCUAAUGCAUGCAAGUCGAACGGGGCGCCUUCGGGCGCUCACGUGGCGGACGGGUGCGUAACACGUGGGCAAUCUGCCCCGGGGCGGGGGAUAGCCAUCGGAAACGGUGGGUAAUUCCGCGUACGCUCGCCUGGCAGUGGGCCGGGCGAGGAGAGGCGCAAGCCACCCGGGGAGGAGCCUGCGGCCGAUUAGCUGGUUGGUGGGGUAACGGCCUACCAAGGCGACGAUCAGUAGCUGGUCUGAGAGGAUGAUCAGCCACACUGGGACUGAGACACGGCCCAGACGCCUACGGGAGGCAGCAGUGGGGAAUAUUGGACAAUGGGGGCAACCCUGAUCCAGCCAUGCCGCGUGAGUGAUGAAGGCCUUAGGGUUGUAAAGCUCUUUUACCCGGGACGAUAAUGACUGUACCGGGAGAACAAGCCCCGGCUAACUUCGUGCCAGCAGCCGCCGUAA
rnacentral:rRNA from 1 species